rnacentral:rRNA from 1 species
UACGUAGGGGGCAAGCGUUGUCCGGAAUUAUUGGGCGUAAAGAGCGUGUAGGCGGCCAGAUAAGUCCGCUGUGAAAUCUCGAGGCUCAACUUCGAGCUGUCGGUGGAAACUAUCUGGCUAGAGUCCGGAAGAGGAGAAUGGAAUUCCUGGUGUAGCGGUGAAAUGCGCAGAUAUCAGGAAGAACACUCGUGGCGAAGGCGGUUCUCUGGGACGGUACUGACGCUGAGACGCGAAAGCGUGGGGAGCGAACAGG